rnacentral:lncRNA from 1 species
GUUUUAUUUAUGAAAAUGUCACCGAUCAUUUUUUUACGUUAGAUAUUCGAUGAUUAGAUUUCUAAAUGGUGACGUUAAAGACCUUUUCUACACUAGUGCAUCUUGUUGAAAUUAAUAGUUUUUAUAAUUAUGUCAACUUGUGAAAUCUUUUAUUAAACAAAGAAUUACAAAAGUUUUGGUCUAAAUAUAAAAUACAUUCUCCUAUACUCAAUCGUAAGCAACAACGAAUUAAACUUUU